rnacentral:rRNA from 1 species
GACGAACGCUGGCGGCGUGCUUAACACAUGCAAGUCGAGCGGAAAGGCCCUUCGGGGUACUCGAGCGGCGAACGGGUGAGUAACACGUGAGUAACCUGCCCCAGACUUUGGGAUAACCCUCGGAAACGGGGGCUAAUACCGGAUACGGCACAGCUUCGCAUGGGGUCUGUGUGGAAAGUUAUUCGGUUUGGGAUGGGCUCGCGGCCUAUCAGCUUGUUGGUGGGGUUAUGGCCUACCAAGGCGACGACGGGUAGCCGGCCUGAGAGGGCGACCGGCCACACUGGGACUGAGACACGGCCCAGACUCCUACGGGAGGCAGCAGUGGGGAAUAUUGCACAAUGGGCGGAAGCCUGAUGCAGCGACGCCGCGUGAGGGAUGACGGCCUUCGGGUUGUAAACCUCUUUCAGCAGGGACGAAGCGUAAGUGACGGUACCUGCAGAAGAAGCGCCGGCCAACUACGUG